AUACGUAGGGGGCGAGCGUUGUCCGGAAUGAUUGGGCGUAAAGGGCGCGUAGGCGGCCCGGUAAGUCUGGAGUGAAAGUCCUGUUUUCAAGAUGGGAAUUGCUUUGGAUACUGUCGGGCUUGAGUGCAGGAGAGGUAAGUGGAAUUCCCAGUGUAGCGGUGAAAUGCGUAGAGAUUGGGAGGAACACCAGUGGCGAAGGCGACUUACUGGACUGUAACUGACGCUGAGGCGCGAAAGUGUGGGGAGCAAACAGGAUUAGAUACCCUGGUAGUCCACACUGUAAACGAUGAAUGCUAGGUGUAGGGGGUAUCGACCCCUUCUGUGCCGCAGUCAACACAAUAAGCAUUCCGCCUGGGGAGUACGGCCGCAAGGUUGAAACUCAAAGGAAUUGACGGGG
rnacentral:rRNA from 1 species